UGAAUGUUAGGGUUUUAUAUUGGUUUGUA
rnacentral:misc_RNA from 1 species